UGGGGAAUUUUGGACAAUGGGCGAAAGCCUGAUCCAGCAAUGCCGCGUGUGUGAAGAAGGCAUUCGGGUUGUAAAGCACUUUUGUCCGGAAAGAAAUGGCUCUGGUUAAUACCUGGGGUCGAUGACGGUACCGGAAGAAUAAGGACCGGCUAACUACGUGCCAGCAGCCGCGGUAAUACGUAGGGUCCAAGCGUUAAUCGGAAUUACUGGGCGUAAAGCGUGCGCAGGCGGUUGUGCAAGACCGAUGUGAAAUCCCCGAGCUUAACUUGGGAAUUGCAUUGGUGACUGCACGGCUAGAGUGUGUCAGAGGGGGUUAGAAUUCCACGUGUAGCAGUGAAAUGCGUAGAGAUGUGGAGGAAUACCGAUGGCGAAGGCAGCCCCCUGGGCUAACACUGACGCUCAUGCACGAAAGCGUGGGGAGCAAACAGG
rnacentral:rRNA from 1 species